AUUGAACGCUGGCGGCAGGCCUAACACAUGCAAGUCGAACGAGUGGCGGACGGGUGAGUAAUGUCUGGGAAACUGCCUGAUGGAGGGGGCUAACUACUGUAAACGGUAGCUAAAACCUCAUACCAUGAUAUGUACCCAGAUGGGAUUAGCUUGUUGGUGGGGUAACGCCUCACAAAGGCGACGAUCCCUAGCUGGUCGGAGAGGAUGACCAGCCACACUGGAACUGAGACACGGUCCAGACUCCUACGGGAGGCAGCAGUGGGGAAGAUUGCACAAUGGGCGCAAGCCUGAUGCAGCCAUGCCGCGUGUAUGAAGAAGGCCUUCGGGUUGUAAAGUCCUUUCAGCGGGGAGGCGUUACCCGCAGAAGAAGCACCGGCUAACUCCGUGCCAGCAGCCGCGGUAAUAC
rnacentral:rRNA from 1 species